GCAGCGGAACUGCGAGGCCUCGUGCAAGUAGCGCCGCAAGGUGCCGUGCGCACGGGGCGUAAGCUAAGUACGUGCCGAUUGCCAUCAGUUGUUGUGAGUUGUGUCUGGCAUCGCUCUUGGCGGUUGAUGGCUUUUGGCAGCGGAACGGCGAGGCCUCAGUGCACGUAGCACCGCAAGGUGCCGUGCGCAUGGGGCUAAGCUAAGUACGUGACGAUUGCCAUCGAUUGUUGGGUGCAACAUCGGGUGGCGGCAUCGCUCGUGGCAGCUGAUGGCUUUUGGCAAUGGAAUGGCGAGGCCUCGUGCAAGUAGCGCCGCAAGGUGCCGUGCGCAUGGGGCUGAGUUUAGUACAUGUUGAAGGUCGUGCGGUUGUUGUGGGUUGUGUCUGUGGCUUUUAUUUAUGGCGCCUUGUUCGUUUAUAUACUCCAAUGGUUCGUGCCUGGCGGGGCUUGUCUUGGCUUUGCAAUGUUGGCAUUGGCAACAACACAUGGCUACGCGUCGCGUGUUGGGGCUGUUGUCGGCAUGUAUCGGCGAGGCAAGUGUACGUGCGGCACAUGAGUGGUGUUCGGCUUGUGUGGCUAGGUUGGAUCCCUGCUUGUGCAGCGACGUCCUAGCCCGCAUGCCAUCUCAGUCAUGGCACAAGCGCAAAUUAGGCUUGUUCGGCGUCGGUUUUCUGUGUUGCAUACCUAAUGCCCAGGCAUUAUCAAGCACAAUC
rnacentral:lncRNA from 1 species